rnacentral:rRNA from 1 species
CCGCGCCGCGGCCAUGGCAGGAGGGGAGGAGCCCGAAACCCUCAGGUCCGUAGCGGCGCAUGCCUCAGCGGCUGGUCCUCGUUCAAGGUGGCGACGCGGCUCAGGUUGGCCGGGCACCGCGUCAGCACGCCUGACCUGGCGGCGUCGGGCGUCGACCCCAGGCCGCUGCGCGAGGUGCCAACGUUCCGCGACUACACCAAGCCGCUGCUGGACCUCCUGGAGUCCCUCCCGCCCGGCGAGAAGGUGGUGCUCGUCGGCCACAGCCUCGGCGGCGUGAACGUCGCCCUCGCCUGCGAGCUGUUCCCGGAGAAGAUCGCCGCUGCGGUGUUCGUUGCCACCUUCAUGCCGGACCAUAGGUCGCCGCCGUCGUACGUGCUUGAAAAGUUCAUGGAGGGGAGAACGCUGGACUGGAUGGACACGGAGUUCAAGCCUCAAGAUCCCGAGGGCAAGCGACCUACUUCCAUGCUGUUCGGGCCGCUGGUCACUCGAGCAAAGUUCUUCCAGCUGUGCUCGCCGGAGGACCUCACGCUGGGAAGAUCCCUGAUGAGGGUCAGCUCCAUGUUCGUGGACGACCUGAGGCUGCAGCCGCCGUACAUGGAGGCCCGCUACGGGUCUAUGCCGGCAUCUCCGCUUCAGGUCCAUCUUCAUGAACUUCCUUUUUCUGAAUCUAAUCACAAAUUCUUAGAUGAUCGAUCUCCUGCAUCACUGCAGCUACUGAAGAUGAUAUGA